UACGAAGGGGGCUAGCGUUGUUCGGAAUUACUGGGCGUAAAGCGCACGUAGGCGGAUAUUUAAGGCAGGGGUGAAAUCCCAGAGCUCAACUCUGGAACUGCCUUUGAUACUGAUAAGCUUGAGUAAAGUUGAGGUAGGCGGAAUUGACGGUGUAGCGGUGAAAUGCUUAGAUAUCGUCAAGAACACCGAUUGCGAAGGCAGCUUACUAAGCUUUAACUGACGCUGAGGCACGAAAGUGUGGGGAUCAAACAGG
rnacentral:rRNA from 1 species